UCCUAGGUGGCUCAGUGGUAUAGAAUUUGCCUGCAAUGCAAGAGACGCAGGUUUGAUCCCUGGAUCAGGAA
rnacentral:tRNA from 1 species